GACGAACGCUGGCGGCGUGCUUAACACAUGCAAGUCGAACGGAAAGGCCCUGCUUUUGUGGGGUGCUCGAGUGGCGAACGGGUGAGUAACACGUGAGUAACCUGCCCUUGACUUUGGGAUAACUUCAGGAAACUGGGGCUAAUACCGGAUAGGAGCUCCUGCUGCAUGGUGGGGGUUGGAAAGUUUCGGCGGUUGGGGAUGGACUCGCGGCUUAUCAGCUUGUUGGUGGGGUGGUGGCUUACCAAGGCGUUGACGGGUAGCCGGCCUGAGAGGGUGACCGGCCACAUUGGGACUGAGAUACGGCCCAGACUCCUACGGGAGGCAGCAGUGGGGAAUAUUGCACAAUGGGCGGAAGCCUGAUGCAGCAACGCCGCGUGCGGGAUGACGGCCUUCGGGUUGUAAACCGCUUUCGCCUGUGACGAAGCGUGAGUGACGGUAAUGGGUAAAGAAGCACCGGCUAACUACGUG
rnacentral:rRNA from 1 species